rnacentral:misc_RNA from 1 species
AUUUUGCAACUUUCUACAUUGCCUAAUUCAUCCCUCUCUACUUCCUGAAAAAAUGACCUCCACCACAACUCUGUAAAAUACUGUAGCCCAAUGUCUUCAUCACAUAAACUUGAACUUGAUGACUCAAUGAACCCUUGGGCAGCCCAAAGAUGAAUCAAUUUUUUCACAUCAAUCACAUAAUCUUUGGGAAAUAAUGCACAAUAUGCAAAACAAUGCUUCAAAUGUGAUGAGAGAUGAUCAUAGCUCAAUUUAAGUGUGUUUAAAAUGACAUUUUCAUUUUGAGCUAUUUUUGAAAGAUCAUUUUCUAAAAAAAGGCAACCAUUCUCUUUCUGGAUCUCUAAAGUAUAAAAGACUUGCAAUUGUCUUUAUUGCAAGGGGAACUCCAACACAUUUAUUAACAAUCUCCUCCCCUGUUUUUUUAACACUUGAAUCUUUUGGUUCUUGUCCUUUGAGAGCUACUCGAAGGAACAAAGACCAAGAUUCAGUUGGAGAUAAGCCUUUCAAAACGUAGGGUUCCACUGUUCUAGCUACCAUUGCCACUUUUAUAGAGCGAGUGGUUACUAAUAUUUUACUUCCGCCAGAACCACCCACUAAUAAUUUCUUCAAACUAUCCCAUUUUUCACGAUUUUCAUUCCAUACAUCAUCCAACACUAGCAUAUAUUUUUUUCCAUUAAUAAUUUUUCCAAGGUCAGUUUUCAAUGUCUCUAGCUCAAGUUCUUCUGACUUUUUACCCUCUGCAGACUCUAAGAUUUUUUUAACAAUCAUUUUCACAUCAAAAGGAUCUGAUACACAAACCCACAACUUUACUUCAAAAUGUUUACUAACUUGCUCAUCAUUGAAUAUGAAUUGAGCAAGUGUAGUCUUCCCUAAUCCCCCAAUUCCAACAAUUGAGAGAACUGAAACAUUCUCUUCACUGUUGGAAGCCAACAGAGAUUCUAUAAUUGCCUUUUUGUCACCCUCUCUCCCAAUAACAACUUCAGGCAGAGAGGAUUCAGUUUGAUCCCUGACCUUAGUUGUAUAACCCCUCUCAUCAUUGUGAACCUCUAAGUUGAAUGAUUUUGUAUCAGCAUGUAUCUCAAGUAAUCUCUUCCUAAUUGCCUUGAUUUUAUGACCCAUCUUAAAACCAUAAACGAGCCGAUUCGAAGAAGAAAAGAAAAGGCUUACCUCCUUUGUCAUUCUAUUUCCAGUCAUCACUUGGCGCUGCAAAUCUGCAGUGGCAAAGUCAUCUAUUAAGUCAUCAGCAUCAUAAACAAUUUCUUGAAGCUUUCCAAGCCAAUCUUUGACUUGUUCGUUUAGGGCCGACUUCUUCUCAGCAUCAAGAAGUACAGCCCGAAUUCUGGAGACUGUGCCUUUGAGUUUCUGAAGCUCAUCUUUGACACCCCACCACACUCCAAUCUCUUGCAGGGCUCGAGAACCCAGCUUCUUAAUGAUCUCCCCAGCAAUAUCAAAGAGAAUUCCAUCUUCCAUUUUUGGUUUUUUGAUUCGGUGUUUUUGAGUGCAAAAUAUGGAAUGUUGUUGUG